UAUGACAAACAGCCCCCAAGCUUUACUUCAAGUUAUCCCUUGAAUGGGCAAGAAGAAAGUAUGCCUUCUGGCUCAAUGGAUAAGGAAAGGGUUGAAAUUACUAAUACUUAUGUGGUUACAGAAGAGAAGAUGCAAAAGGUGUCACCACCUCGUAGAAAAGGAUCUAGGGAGGAAAAGACGGAGAAGUUGGGUAACUGGUUGAAAAAAGAUAACAUUGGUUCUGAUCUCCCCCUUACAAACAGCAGACAGCAGAACUCAGGAAACUACCCUGCUAAUAAUACUGGUUUGCGACAUUUUGAACCUGAUCCUCAUUCAGAUGAAAUUACUAAUACUUAUGGUGGUUCUACAAGUCAAAAAGUCCAUUCAUCAUCCUUCCAAAACUAUAUGGAUGCAGAAGAGAAGAUGCAAAAGGUGUCACCACCUCGUAGAAAAGGAUCUAGGGAGGAAAAGACAGAGAAGUUGGGUAACUGGUUGAAAAAAGAUAACAUUGGUUCUGAUCUCCCCCUUACAAACAGCAGACUGCAGAACCCAGGAAACUACCCUGCUAAUAAUUCUGGGUUGCGACAUUUUGAACCUGAUACUCAUUCAGAUGAAAUUACUAAUACUUAUGGUGGUUCUACAAGUCAAAAAGUCCAUUCAUCAUCCUCCCAAAACUAUGUGGAUACAGAAGCGAAGAUGCAAAAGGUGUCACCACCUCGUAAAAAAGGAUCUAGGGAGGAAAAGACGGAGAAGUUGGGUAACUGGUUGAAAAAAGAUAACAUUGGUUCUGAUCUCCCCCCUACAAACAGCAGACAGCAGAACCCAGGAAACUACCCUGCUAAUAAUACUGGGUUGCGACAUUUUGAACCUGAUCCUCAUUCAGAUGGGAAUAUUGAUGCCAUACUUGAG
rnacentral:lncRNA from 1 species